GCUCCUGGUGCUCAUUUUUUCUUUCUUUCUUUUUUUCCCCCUUAUUUUAUCCAAUAAGACAGAGAGAAAUUGAGAGCAGAGAGGAGAGACAGAGACACCUGUAGACCUGCUACACUGCUUGUGAAGCUUCCCCCAUGCAGAUGGGGAGUUGGGGGAGCUUCAAAGUUGGGCCUUUUUGCAGCCUUUGCACACAGUACUAUGUGUAUUUAAUCUAUUGUGCUACCUCCCAGCCCCUGAAAUUCUAAUUCUUUAGGUCUGAGAAGGAGCUCCAAGCAAAAGUGGUGCAGAGGGUAUUGCUUGUUAGACACUCAGUUGAGGACCCCUGGGAAAUCUAUACUGCCCCUUUUAACGUUUUUUUCUCUAGAUAGAGGAUGAAAGAAAGAGAAAGGAAAAGAGACACCACACCAGUGCUUCAUCAUUGUGAAGCUUCCCCUUUUGUGUGUUGCACCCUUGUUGUAGCUAGGGGUUCGAACCUGGUUUUAGUUCAUGGUAUCAUGUACACUUCACUGAGUGAGCCAUCUCCUAGCCCCCUGCUCUAGAUCAGUUUAUGGUUGUUUUUUUAUUUUUUUUUUUUAAUUAUCUUAGCCCCCUGCUCUAGAUCAGUUUAUGGUUUUUUUUUAUUCUUUUUUUUAAAAAUUAUCUUUAUUUACUUACUGGAUAGAGACAGCCAGAAAUCAAGAGGAGGUGAUAGAGAGGAAGUGAGACAGAGAAACACCUGCAGCCCUGCUUUACCACUCAAAGCUAUCCCUGUGCAGGUGGGGACUGGGGCUUGCACCCAGCUCCUUGUGCACUGUGAUGUGUGUGCUCAACCCGGUGGGCCACCACAUGGUCCAGUGGCUGAUUUUUUUACCCCUGCUCUGGUAUGUUCCUGCUAUGUGGAACAUGGUUUUUGAUUUGAAGAUAAGUUCUUUGAAAUGUGAUUGAACCAUACCCAUAGAAAAUUGUUAUAUGGGAGUCGGGCAGUAGCUCAGUGGAUUAAGCAUACGUGGCACAAAAAAGAAAAGAAAAGGACUGGCAUGGGGAUCCCGGUUCGAGCCCCUGGCUCCCCACCUUCAGGGGAGUCACUUUACAGGCGGUAAAGCAGGUCUGCAGGUGUCCGUCUUUCCCCUUCACUGUCUUCCCCUCCUCUCUCAAUUUUUCUCUGUCCUAUCCAACAACAGCAACAACAACAACAGUAAUAACAGAACAAUGACAAAACAACAAGGGCAACAAAAGGGAAAAAAAUGGCUUCCAAGAGCAGUGGGUUUGUGGUGCAGGCACCGAACCCUGGCAGUAACCUUAGAGGCAAAAAAAAGAAAAGAAAAAAUUGUCAACAAGGGCAACAAAAGAGAAUAAAGAGAUAAAUAUUUUUUUAAAAAGAAAAGAAAAUUGUUAUAUUAUGUACCAACAACUUAUCGAUCCAUACU